UGUUCAUCAAGAGUAUUCUAUAACGUAUGCCACAUAUAAAAAUUGCAUGUGCAGUCUGAUUAUGUUGCAAGACUGGGGCUU
rnacentral:snoRNA from 1 species